AGGUGUUAAAUCAUUAUCAUAUGGCAUUUGUGACCAAGUAUAACCUAGUCAUGGCUUAAACAAAAAAGGUUAGGUUCCUUGCACUGUACUAGCAAUUCCAGUGAUCAAAAAUGGCUAAUUCUCAACUUCAAGUUAACAAGUCUCAUGUCAGUCUUUUUCUGAACAGCAUCAUUGCCAAUCCAGUUUCUCAAGUCAGAAACAGGAACUCAUCCUCCACAAGCCCCACCAUUCUCACCGUCCAUAUGCAAUCAAUCUUCAGGUACUAAAUUACGUAUAGAUCUGUCAAGAUGAUGUAAGACCUGAAAUCUCUCUGUAAGUUGAUCCUCUUGACCCUGUGAUUAGGAGCUUCACAAUGUGGUACCACACCUGGAAAUCUCCAGAACAAGAUCUCAAGGAAACACAGGAAAUUCCUGGAGUGGCAAAACAUCCUAUUUGAAGACAUUCAAUUACUCCUCUGUGCAUCGGGAGCAUCGUCGUUAAUUAACUAUUGAUAUGCUUGAAAGAGUUUGUUUAGCAACGAAACUUGCAAAGAGGAGGGCCAGGCAGAUGCUGACCUUGUGAAUUAGUCAUCUCCGCACGUUCCUCCAAAACAAAACUCCACAGCAGGGGAAGACAGAAGUGGAGGGUCACACACCUGGUCUUAUAUACUUUGAUGCAGAGGUGAUACAUGUCAUUUUUACUCACAGCUUGAAAGCAAGAACAAAGCCUGAUAUACCUGCUACGGGUCUGGAAUAUAUUCUGGAGCACAUGGCUAUUUGGUGAGCAGUAAAUGUUUCUGCCACACCAGGCUUUUGGCAGACUUCAAAUUUGUUCCUGAGGGGCCUAAUUCACAUCACUAACGGUAUAUUUCUUGAGUCUUCCUGGAAUCUUACAUUGAUGUUUUUCUAGUACAGUGUCUGGCACAGGGUAAAUACUCCGUAAAUAUACUCAGCAGAGCACUUAGAUCUGUAAGUUUCAUUUUAUCAUCGGACUUGAGUACCCAUUUAGCUGCUAUAUCAGAUCAGGAAAGUGUAACUGCAACUCUAACUGUAAAGAAAGUUUAAUUGAUAAACUGCUCAGCUCAGAUUCAGUUUUAUUUUAUUUUGUUUUUGAUUUUUGUAGUUUUCACUUUGUUUCUUUGCUCUAGAGCAGUUCAUUCCUAAUUGUCAUUAAAAUUAGAACAAAAGUUGUGUCCAUACACAAUGAGAGUCAUUCAGAUUCUUUGGGGGAAUCUCUCUUCAAGUGUCUGCAGCUGUGUUGGGGCACUUACCUCUAUGUGUAAAUUACAUUCAUUCCCUGUUAGAUAUUGUAUUUUAUUUUCAAUCAAUACUGUCCAUUCUGUAAUGGGUCAUUGCAUAGACAUGAAUAUGACAUUUUGGGCUGUGUCUUCUAUUUGUCACUUACUAGCACUUAGAUUGUGACAAG